CGCAAGCCUGAUGCAGCCAUGCCGCGUGUAUGAAGAAGGCCUUCGGGUUGUAAAGUACUUUCAGCAGUGAGGAAGGUGGGUAUGUUAAUAGCAUAUUCAUUUGACGUUAGCUGCAGAAGAAGCACCGGCUAACUCCGUGCCAGCAGCCGCGGUAAUACGGAGGGUGCGAGCGUUAAUCGGAAUUACUGGGCGUAAAGCGCAUGCAGGUGGUUUGUUAAGUCAGAUGUGAAAGCCCGGGGCUCAACCUCGGAAUUGCAUUUGAAACUGGCAAACUAGAGUACUGUAGAGGGGGUAGAAUUUCAGGUGUAGCGGUGAAAUGCGUAGAGAUCUGAAGGAAUACCGGUGGCGAAGGCGGCCCCCUGGACAGAUACUGACACUCAGAUGCGAAAGCGUGGGGAGCAAACAGGAUUAGAUACCCUGGUAG
rnacentral:rRNA from 1 species